rnacentral:rRNA from 1 species
GACGAACGCUGGCGGCGUGCUUAACACAUGCAAGUCGAACGGAAAGGCCCUGCUUUUGUGGGGUGCUCGAGUGGCGAACGGGUGAGUAACACGUGAGUAACCUGCCCUUGACUUUGGGAUAACUUCAGGAAACUGGGGCUAAUACCGGAUAGGAGCUCCUGCUGCAUGGUGGGGGUUGGAAAGUUUCGGCGGCUGGGGAUGGACUCGCGGCUUAUCAGCUUGUUGGUGAGGUAGUGGCUUACCAAGGCUUUGACGGGUAGCCGGCCUGAGAGGGUGACCGGCCACAUUGGGACUGGGAUACGGCCCAGACUCCUACGGGAGGCAGCAGUGGGGAAUAUUGCACAAUGGGCGGAAGCCUGAUGCAGCAACGCCGCGUGCGGGAUGACGGCCUUCGGGUUGUAAACCGCUUUCGCCUGUGACGAAGCGUGAGUGACGGUAAUGGGUAAAGAAGCACCGGCUAACUACGUG